rnacentral:rRNA from 1 species
AACGAACGCUGGCGGCAUGCCUAACACAUGCAAGUCGAACGAGACCUCCGGGUCUAGUGGCGCACGGGUGCGUAACGCGUGGGAACCUGCCCUUAGGUUCGGAAUAACUCUCCGAAAGGGGUGCUAAUACCGGAUAAUGUCUUCGGCCCAAAGAUUUAUUGCCUUUGGAUGGGCGCGCGUUGGAUUAGCUGGUUGGUAGGGUAAAAGCCUACCAAGGCGACCAUCCAUAGCUGGUUUGAGAGGAUGAUUAGCCACACUGGGACUGAGACGCGGCCCAGACUCCUACGCGAUGCAGGAGUGGGUGAUAUUGGAAAAUGGGCGGAAGCAUGAUCCAGCUAUGCCGCGUGAGUGAUGAAGGCCGUAGGGUUGUAAAGCUCUUGUACCCGGGAUGAUAAUGACAGUACCGGGAGAAUAAGCGCCGGCUAACUCCGUG